AUGCUCCAGAGAACUUCACAGCUCCUCUGCUCCACAGACCAUACUUCAGAUUCAUCAGUGUGCCCUCAGAAGUCCAUUUCUAGACAUAUCCUCAGUGCUCUCAGGCUCUUUGCCUGUUCUGUUAAAAUUGAGAGCCUACUUCUUCGGGAUGCCAACAUAUAUGAAGGCCAGACUCAUACGGAACAGUUGGCAUCCUGGACCUCAUAUCCAUCCUUGUACCCCACCGACGUGGCAGGAUCCCCACUCUGGGGUGACAACCUACAUCACCUGCCUGCUCUAUCGCCCUCCCACAGAAGGCUCUGAAAAGAUACAAGACUCCAGUGAGCUACUGCCCUUCGGUUCCCAGGCUCAUGCUGACUCAGGCCCACCUCUGGCCAUGCCCAAGCCUGUCUACUGCAGCCCUUUGUGUUCCAGUCUCUCCACUUGCCUCGGAGAUGGGGGAUCAAACAGAUCCUUGGAUGUUGACUGGACCCUGGUGACUGGGUCCCUGCUGCCUUUUGCUGACCCACCCUGUUAUCUAGCUACAGCUCCUGGCAAGGGACAGACCCUGGAUGCGACAUUCUUUCGUGGGCUACCAUCCGGAGGACCUGACAAGGACACUUUUGUGACUUUUUCCCCAUGCCAGGCCGUCUUGGUGAAAUAUCAAGCUAUCCAAAGCACAGGUUUCCCGGCUUCCAAGUACACCGGUCCUUAUUCUGGGGAUCCUAAGCAAGCAAUAUCUGAGGGGCCCUCCAGACCUUGAACCCAGGUUGCACAGCCCCAGGACCACCUUGCCAGGAUGCAGUGCCAGCCUGCUAUCCACUGUCCCCAUCUCCACAGGGAACAGUGUCUUGCCCUCUAUCUUGUCAUCACCCAGAAAAGCUAUGGCUCUUUGCUCCCACUGCCGCCUCGAGGAGCCCACAAGGGGUCUGCAUACCAUGUUGGGGAGCUGGGCAGCACCUACUUGAGGCAACAGGUACCCCAGAUCCCCUACAUGCCCCUCUUGGUAUAGACAGUUAUUCCUAUUCUUCUGCACCCUCCCAGCACCCUCACCAGGGCACAAGCUGGAGCCCCCUCUUGCCCCAAGUUGCCCACUGGAUUUUGUCCCUAAACUCUGGGUUUUCCUUAUGCCAGGGAUGACCUCUCUCUCUCUCUAUGGGGCAUCCUCAGGGCUUUGGGGGAAUACUACCCUCGCAUUCCCAGAACAAUGUGCAUGCAGCCUUGCCACAGCCCUGUGCCUUCUAGGGAACAUGCAAGCCUUUGCCAGCCAGCCGACCAUGCUCUGAGCCUGUGCGACCUGCAGAGAAGCCAACACCAGAAGCUCAAGAGAAGAUGUGGCUGCCCAGCUGCAGGAAAGAGCAACUACAGCCCAGGCCCAAUGAGCGUCCUGGGGUACCUACUGUUAUCCUAGACAGUCCAGUUUCCUGCACCUCACCAGCACUGCAUGCCUGUGCCAAGGAGCACCAGUCUCUUCCACAGAAAGAUGCUAGGCCUCCCAGCUCUAAACCAAUGCUGGUGAUUGACCACGUUUUUUUUAGGCUGGCCCCCUACAGUGCCUGCCUGGAUGUAUAGACAUUGGAGCCCACAGCUGAGCAGGACUCAGCUCCAGGUACCAGUAAGAGCUAAGACAAAGAUUACAAGGGGGAAUCUGCCUGUUCAGGAUGGGGCCUCCAGGUUUCACUGCUCUCUUCAUGAGGAGGUGGCUCUGGACUUGAGUGUGAAGAAGUUGGUGGCAGAGGGUGUCCCUGUCAAGGUCUGUAGUCCUGAGGUGAAUGAAAAUCCCACCGAGGCUGUGGAUGGACUAGGUAUAGAAAACACAGUGUCAGGUCUGCCUGGCCUAAAAAUGAUGGUCACAGAAAUGCCUGAAGUAUCUGCAGAAGCCACACCAAGGACCAACUUCAUAGCUCUGUGGCCUUCAUGUUCUGAAAAUUCAAGAUAUUCAGUCCUGCACCAUUACCUGAAGUUAUUGACCCAUCUUCCCCUACCCCAGCUCCUGUCCCUGCAUCUGCACCUUCCCCUGUACAACCUGCACCCAGUCCCUCAUCUGGGUCCAUGGGACUGCAGAUUCUCAUUCAGUCUUUGCUGGUGGUGGCAUGCUUCAACCUGACCCUGCCUAGCCCACUAGCCAGAGCCUUGGCCUCCCCGGUGCCAGCCUCUGCUCUACCUGCAUCAACAGCUCCUGCUCCUGCUUCAGCCUCAGGCCCUGCUCCAGCCUCUGUUCAAGUUCCCACUGCAGCCCCAGCGGACUCUCCAGAACAGCACUUUACAGGGCUGCACACAUCCAUUUGUGAUGCCAUCUCGGGCUCUGUGGCCCAUUCUCCACCAGAAAAAAUGCGGGAGUGGCUUGAGACAACUGGGCUAUGGGGCCAGGCUGCAUGGCAAGACUUCCAGGGUGGUCAGAGGCUACUAGGCAAGCUGCUGUCCCAGCUGCAGAAGUUCAUGUGCACACAGUGGUGCCCAUUCCCUCAUGUAGUACGAGCUGGUCUCAUCUUUGUGUGCACACAGCAGUGCCCAUUCCCUCAUGUAGUAUGGUCUGGUGCCAUCUUUGUGCCCAUCCAUUUGGUGAAUGAGCCUCUCUUUCCAAAGCUGCCACCGGUCUCUGUGGACCAUGUGCUGCAGGACCACCGUGUGGAACUACGGCCCACCACUCUGUCACAGGAGCAUGUGCUAUGUGGACACAAACGUGCCCUACACAGCUGUACCUUAUGCAAAUUGAAACUGCUGGCACUGUGUCAGCAGCCUGACAUCUACCCUGACCUGCUGGGCCUACAAUGGCAUGACUGUGUCCACCGCCACCUGGGUGGCUUUGACAAUGAGGCCAGAACUCUAUCUCCAUCAGAACCCAUGGUGACCAGAGAUGAGCCAGAAAGCCAAGCCUUGGCUGAGAAGUUGCCAGCCCCCAAGGCCAAGAAGCCAGGGAGAAAGUCACCAAUGCCUGGCCCUAAGAAAGCAGAGGCAACCACUGGGGAAGGGGCAUGUAAUCCCUCACCUAAGUCUGGGGGUAGCACCAGCCCACCAGGUCCUACUUUGAGUGCCUGCAUCCUGUUAGAAACCGCCUGGCUCAGUGGUGUGGCACUGCCUACUUGGGGCCACAAGGUCUCCAGAGCAGAUUAGCCUUUGCCUCACCCCCAGCUCUUGGGCAGUCAGACCUAUCUGUAG